rnacentral:tRNA from 3 species
GCCGGAUUAGCUCAGUCGGUAGAGCAACUGAUUUGUAAUCAGUGGGUCGGCGGUUCAAAUCCGUCAUCCGGCACCA